rnacentral:rRNA from 1 species
CGCUGGCGGCAGGCUUACACAUGCAAGUCGAACGCUCGUAGCAAUACGGGAGUGGCAGACGGGUGAGUAACGCGUGGGAACAUACCCUCCGGUUCGGAAUAGCUCAGGGAAACUUGGAUUAAUACCGGAUACGGCUGAGAGGCGAAAGAUUUAUCGCCGGAGGAUUGGCCCGCGUUCGAUUAGCUUGUUGGUGAGGUAAUGGCUCACCAAGGCGAUGAUCGAUAGCUGGUCUGAGAGGAUGAUCAGCCACAUUGGGACUGAGACACGGCCCAAACUCCUACGGGAGGCAGCAGUGGGGAAUAUUGGACAAUGGGCGCAAGCCUGAUCCAGCCAUGCCGCGUGAGUGAUGACGGCCUUAGGGUUGUAAAGCUCUUUCGCUCGGGACGAUAAUGACGGUACCGAGAUAAGAAGCCCCGGCUAACUUCGUGCCAGCAGCCGCGGUAAUACGAAGGGGGCUAGCGUUGUUCGGAAUUACUGGGCGUAAAGCGCGUGUAGGCGGGUCUUUAAGUCAGGGGUGAAAUGCCAGGGCUCAACCUUGGAACUGGCUUUGAUACUGGAGACCUUGAGUCCGGGAGAGGUGAGUGGAAUUGCGAGUGUAAAGGUGAAAUUCGUAGAUAUUCGCAAGAACACCAGUGGCG